AUUGUAUCAGAGACACACUGAUAGGAGUCGUUCGGAAAAUAUUGAACGUUCUAAGUUCAGGCAUUGUCUGAAGGAGUAGGAGAUUUGUUUUUGGCAACUGCUUUCUAAGGAGAAGGCAGUUAAGAGCAUUUACCUCCAGGAUAUUCAGUGAAGAAAGACAGGAACAUUCUUCAGAGCCUGCAUUUUCUGCUAGGAUGAGGAAACUGAGACACAGAGAUGUUCAAACAAUGUGAAAAGAUCUCAGAGCUGAUUUGGAAACUGAAGAUCAUAGUGACUAAAGCAUCUAUCCAAGGUCACAAAACUUAAAUGUUGCAGCGAAUGUUCAAACUCAGGUCUGACCCCAAACUAAAAGUCCCACCUGCUGCUGCUGCUGCUGCUGCUGCUGCUGCUGCUGCUGCUGAGUAUGUACUAAAUGGAUGAAUUACUCCAAAUUUUCAGGUCACCUGCAAAAGAAAAGAGACCUUGAAAAAGAGAUAAUUUGCCCUGACUGGUGUCACUCAGUGGACUAAAUGCUGGCUUGCAAACAAAUGUCACCAGGUUGAUUUCCAGUGAGGGCACAUGCCUGGGUUGCAGGCCAGGUCCCCAU